rnacentral:rRNA from 1 species
UACGUAGGGUCCAAGCGUUAAUCGGAAUUACUGGGCGUAAAGCGUGCGCAGGCGGUUUUAUAAGCCAGAUGUGAAAUCCCCGGGCUUAACCUGGGAAUGGCAUUUGGGACUGUAAGGCUAGAGUACGGCAGAGGGGACUAGAAUUCCUGGUGUAGCAGUGAAAUGCGUAGAUAUCAGGAGGAAUACCGAUGGCGAAGGCAGGUCCCUGGGUCGAUACUGACGCUCAUGCACGAAAGCGUGGGGAGCAAACAGG